UACGAAGGGGGCUAGCGUUGCUCGGAAUUACUGGGCGUAAAGCGCACGUAGGCGGCUUCUUAAGUCGGGGGUGAAAUCCUGGAGCUCAACUCCAGAACUGCCUUCGAUACUGGGAAGCUCGAGUCCGGAAGAGGCGAGUGGAACUCCUGGUGUAGCGGUGGAAUGCGCAGAUAUCAGGAAGAACACCAACGGCGAAGGCAGCUCGCUGGGACGGUACUGACGCUGAGACGCGAAAGCGUGGGGAGCGAACAGG
rnacentral:rRNA from 1 species